rnacentral:rRNA from 1 species
AGAGCGAACGCUGGCGGCAUGCUUAACACAUGCAAGUCGCACGGGCAUUUCGGUGUCAGUGGCGGACGGGUGAGUAACGCGUAGGUAUCUAUCCUUGGGUGGGGGAUAACGGUUGGAAACGACUGCUAAUACCGCAUGAUAACUGAGGUUUAAAGGCGCAAGUCGCCUGGGGAGGAGCCUGCGUACGAUUAGCUUGUUGGUGGGGUAAAGGCCUACCAAGGCGACGAUCGUUAGCUGGUCUGAGAGGAUGAUCAGCCACAUUGGGACUGAGACACGGCCCAAACUCCUACGGGAGGCAGCAGUGGGAAUAUUGGACAAUGGGCGAAAGCCUGAUCCAGCAAUGCCGCGUGUGUGAAGAAGGUCUUCGGAUUGUAAAGCACUUUCGACAGGGACGAUGAUGACGGUACCUGUAGAAGACGCCCGGCUAACUUCGCGCCAGCAGCCGC